ACAUUUUAACCAACAAACACUUGAAAACUUAUUUUCUUUCUCUUUCUUCUCAUUUACACCAAAAAGCUUAGAAAAAAAAAGAACAAAGAAAAGAAAAGACUCUCUUCUCCACCACUCCAUGUUCAGUUUUUAGAGAGGAAAAAGAGAGAGAAGGCAUCCAUGGGAGAGGAAGAAUGAAGAAAAAGAAAUCAAGAGGAUUAACACUAAAGGUAUAAAAUUUCCUAAACUCAAAACUCUAGCUAGUUUAAUGUGUUUUGUUAUGGUUGUUUUAGAUCAAGUGUUGAACUUAUGAUUUUGAACCAUAUGAGGGUAGAUCUACAUAAUAUAUAAUAUUUUAUGGUUAGAUCUUGCCAUUUUUAGGGUUGAUGAGCUUGAACAAAGAAGAAGAACCAAAACAGUUUUUAACUUAAAAAAUAAAUUGGUGACUGCUGCCCCUAAACAGAAUAUUCGGGUUUAGCUAGAAUUCUCUAAAAAUUCUGGGCUUUUGGUAUGUUAUAGUACACUCAAUAAGCUUUCCAUAGACUCCGAAACGAACUAAAUCCGACAUCGGAGGAGAGAGUUAUGAUAUUUCAAAAUAGUAGUGUCAAAACUGUCUAACAAGUGCGGUGCAGUCCACUUGAACGAAAUUUCUGGGCUGAUAUAUUCAGAAUCUGGAAAUAUAUCCAGUAGGGAAGAGUUGUAGUCCCGGAAGAUAGCUUCGCGUGGGCUCAAGAAUCGCCUAAAAAUGUUUUAAAACGAAAAAGUUAUGACUGUUUUAGCGAAAGAGGGUAAAUCUGGGAUAUAAAUAAAAACUGUUGCGAGUGGACAUUUUUGGGGUCUGUUUUAGGCUGUCUAAGAGGUCCGAAAUUACUGGGUUAUAUUUUUUAAAAAUACUUUGGUAUACCAUGUAUAACAUAUCCAAAGUUGGGAAUAAUAGUAUGUGUGUGUAUACUAGGUAAAUCUGGGAUAUAGAUAAAAACUGUUGCGAGUGGACAUUUUUGGGGUCUGUUUUAGGCUGCCUAAGAGGUCUGAAAUUACUGGGGUAUAUUUUUAAAAAAUACUUUGGUAUACCAUGUAUAACAUAUCCAAAGUUGGGAAUAAUAGUAUGUGUGUGUAUACUGGAACCUCAUAUCCAAAGAGGUCCGAAAUUACUGGGUUAUUCUAUGUGUGUGUAUAUAUAUAUAUAAUAGUAUUAUAUUGUGAUGAUAUUACUCUAAUUUGUAUAUCGGUAUUAUUUAUAUAUUACGUCUUCAGAUAAAGCUUAAUAAAUUGCGUUACAGUAAUCAACGAAACAUGCAAGUUUUUCUUAACUCUACUUAGAGUUGUUUUAUUCAGAUAUGUUUAUGGUUAAUCAUUGCUAAUUGCCAUUGUAGAAUUGUACUCUGUACAUAUUGCAUGUAUAAGUCAGGUAUGAAAGGCUGAUCACCUUCAUUACCGUUCGGUCCAGAUAUAUUUGUUCAUGUUUAAUACUUGUUCAGUCAAAAUUUUGUUCGUGCUAGUUCUCAACUAUAUUGAAGAAUUAUAGCCAACUUAUUAUUCAAAUUCUUUCAAUCAUGAUAUAUCCUUAUAUAAAUUUAAACUUGCUGGGCAACUUUCAUGCUCACCCUUGCUAUAUCAUGAUAAAUAUUGCAGAUUAAAGCGAAUACGACAGAUACAAGGAAAGGUUAAAGACAAUUACAACGUUAGUUUUUGUGUGAAGCUAAAUUUGUAACAGCAUGUAUGAUAAUAUCUUUGUAUGUCAGAUAGGAUAAUGAAUUGUGUAUAAGUUAAGGUUACUCGACCUUGGGGAAUAGUGUG
rnacentral:lncRNA from 1 species